rnacentral:lncRNA from 1 species
ACGAUUAAAAGAAUAAAUACAUAUGUGCGAGGGAAAAUAUGAAUGUAUUCCCUCUUGUUCUAACCAAUUAGAACAAAGUUUGAGCGACACGUGACGUUAGAACAUAGGGAGAUAAUUGUUUUAAAAUGGCGUGAUUUGUAUUUUAAUCAGAAAUAAGAUAAGUAAAAGUGAGAACUAUUUAAACGACUUUCGAACAACGAACUCGUAGGAAUAAGACACUAUGAAGGCGUGAAAACCAUCUGCUGCUGGAUCGAUAAACCAUAUUCAAUCCAGUAUGAGCUCAAAUUCUGCUUUAACAAUCUUAGUGUGAUCAGGAGCAAGUCAUCCAUCAGUGACAAUGUGAAUCACAAAAUAAGUCACUACUAGAUGAUUCAGAAACUCAAGAUUCGGAAUCUCCGCAGUCGAAAAGAUGGGUUUCUGAAGAGAAAACCCACCUCCAAAAUAACCGAAAGGGGGUGCGGUCCAUAUCCUUUACUUCCGCCCCACAAUGGUAUUCGUUGUUUGCCAUUUGUUAGAUGAAAGAACAGUGAUCGAAGUUGUAAAGAAAUAUUUAUUUACCGUUACUUUGUAUAUAUCCAAAACCACAACGGGUUGGUACGUAUUAGUAAAUGGAAAAGCAUGCGAGGUAUUGAGUUAAUUUCGGCCGAUAGUAGUUCUCAUAGUAGUAAACCAUAGAUAGUGAUAGAAUGAUGUAAGAGAAAAGAAAUUGAGCUAGUGAAAGUUAUAGAGUCGACGGGCGUUGUGUCUCGUAGUUGACUGAUUGUAACCUUUUUCCUUCUGGCCGUUUGUUUUUAGUGGCUGCCUGCUUGUGGCCAUGACUAUUUCACUAACUGUUGCUCUCAAUAACUAAUUUCUUUAUUGCCAAUACGUGGCUCACAUAAGAGGGGACAGCACAAGGACAAAACAAAAACAUUUAGGGAGUGGGGUUAUACAUUAGUUAAUUCGCAUAAAAAUCAAAUAUAAUGAAAUCGAAUGAAUUUACACAGUACAAUGAAAUCAAAAUCAAUUAAAAAUUAAAUAAUAUAUUUUUCCGGACAGGGACUAUCCAAAACCAGCUAGAAGGAUAGACAUAUUGUUGAAAACAAUAUAUUUCGUUGGGGGUCUGUUAUGUCUAUUUUAGCUUUUGGUGAAAUAGAAGAGAUUAGAAGGGUCAGUGGCAAAGACAUAAUUCUGCUUAGCGAAGACAUCUGGUAAAUGUAACUGCUGCCAUGAGAAAAGUGCUGUUGAAAAGUGAAAUUUGGCAAUCGAGCAUCGAAUCCACGCCAUGCCUGCAUGAAGCCACUACAGUCUCUAUUGUAUAAGAAUUUUGCAAUGAUUUCACUUUCUCAGUAUUUCUUUUAGUUAUCUAUAGUGCCUGUAUUAAAUAAUGAUAUUCAAAUGCUUUCAGA